UACUGCUCAGUAACACGUGGAUAACUGCCCUAAGGAARGGGAUACCCUSGGAAACUGAGRAUAAUACCCUAUAGUUACCGAUGCUGGAAUGCCCGGUAUCCCAAAGYUCCGGCGCCUUAGGAUGGAUCUGCGGCCGAUUAGGUCGUUGUUGGGGUAACGCCCCAACAAGCCGAUAAUCGGUACGGGUUGUGGGAGCAAGAGCCCGGAGUUGGAUUCUGAGACACGAAUCCAGGCCCUACGGGGCGCAGCAGGCGCGAAAACUUUACAAUGCGGGCAACCGUGAUAAGGGAGCCUCGAGUGCCUGUACAUGCAGGCUGUCUGGGWAUAUAAAACACACCCAAAGAAAGGGCCGGGCAAGACCGGUGCCAGCCGCCGCGGUAAUACCGGCGGCUCGAGUGGUGGCCACUUUUAUUGGGCUUAAAGCGUUCGUAGCUGGGUUGUUAAGUCUCUUGGGAAAUCUGGCAGCUUAACUGUCAGGCGUCUAAGAGAUACUGGCAAUCUAGGAACCGGGAGAGGUGAGGGGUACUUCGGGGGUAGGAGUGAAAUCCUGUAAUCCUCGAGGGACCACCUGUGGCGAAGGCGCCUCACCAGAACGGCUUCGACAGUGAGGGACGAAAGCUGGGGGAGCAAACCGGAUUUUUACCCGGGUAGUCCCAGCCGUAAACGAUGCGCGUUAGUCUUUCAUGACCACGAGUCAUCGAGGUGCCGAAGRGAAACCGUGAAACGCGCCGCCUKGGAA
rnacentral:rRNA from 1 species